GAUGAACGCUGGCGGCGUGCCUCAAACAUGCAAGUCGAGCGGGGCUAUGUAAUAUCGCAAGGUAGAACAUAGCCUAGCGGCGAACGGGUGAGUAACACGUGGGUAACCUGCCUGGAAGACAGGGAUAACGAUUCGAAAGGGUCGCUAAUACCUGAUAAUAUCCUUUCAUCGCAUGGUGAUAGGAAGAAAGGGGAAACCCGCUUUCAGAUGGGCCCGCGUCCCAUCAGCUAGUUGGUAAGGUAAAGGCUUACCAAGGCGACGACGGGUAGCCGGUCUGAGAGGAUGUACGGCCACACUGAGACUGAGAUACGGCCCAGACUCCUACGGGAGGCAGCAGUUGGGAAUCUUAGGCAAUGGACGAAAGUCUGACCUAGCGACGCCGCGUGAGGGGAAGAAGGCCUUCGGGUUGUAAACCUCUGUCAUGGGGGAAGAAGUAAGUGACGGUACCCCAAGAGGAAGCCCCUGCUAACUACGUG
rnacentral:rRNA from 1 species